GAUGAAGAACGUAGCGAAAUGCGAUAAGUAGUGUGAAUUGCAGAAUUCAGUGAAUCAUCGAAUCUUUGAACGCACAUUGCGCCCUUUGGUAUUCCUUAGGGCAUGCCUGUUCGAGCGUCAUUUAAACCUUCAAGCUAAGCUUGGUGUUGGGUGACUGUCCGCCUCACGGCGGACUCGCCUCAAAAUUAUUGGCGGCCGGUACAUUGGCUUCGAGCGCAGCAGAAACGCGAACUCGGGCCCGUCGUAUUGGCUCCCAGAAGCUAUCUUCACAAUUUUGACCUUGGAUCAGGUAGGGAUACCCGCUGAACUUAAGCAUAUCAAUAAGCGGAGGA
rnacentral:misc_RNA from 1 species